UACGGAGGGUGCAAGCGUUAUCCGGAUUCACUGGGUUUAAAGGGUGCGUAGGUGGCUUUGUAAGUCAGUGGUGGAAUCUCGGAGCUUGACUCCGAAACUGCCAUUGAUACUGCUUAGCUUGAAUCAGGUAGAGGUGGAUGGAAUAUUACAUGUAGCGGUGAAAUGCUUAGAUAUGUAAUAGAACACCGAUUGUGAAGGCAGUUCACUGUGCCUGCAUUGACACUGAGGCACGAAAGCGUGGGGAUCAAACAGG
rnacentral:rRNA from 1 species